AUCCCAUGAUGUGGAAAUUAGUAUAAAAGAUUUAAGAAUUUGUCCCAUACUUGGCAUAGCAUUUCCCCUUCCUUCUGUUCAAAAUGUAGGAUUUGAUUCCUAAGUUU